rnacentral:lncRNA from 1 species
AAGGAGAGGUUCUGCUAAGAUUUGGGUGGGAGAGGGAUCCUGAGUGACUCUGCAGCUUCUCACAUCUAAGAUGGGCAGAGAUCCAUCGAAGAGCCCCACUUUCAGAUGGUCUGCCUUCAGGGAAUAGGCAGCAGAAAUUGCCUGAGUUCCUUUGUGUCGCGUCAGCAUGGCCAUGAAGCUAAGGGACCUUCUAACUCUUGGUGCUCUUCUGAAGAAUUUUAAGCUGUAUUAAGCAUUGUGCAAUUUGCUGUUACUCUCAGAGAUUUGGGCAAAGAAGAUGUGAAUAGAGAGCAUGUUUCCGAAGCAGGGGAAAAAACACCUAGUCAUAAAAUCAGCCCAGGAAGAGAUGCCAGGCCUGGCACCACUGCGGGGCCAGAGCCAGAUGUGACAGCCAGCCAAGGCCAGACGGACUUGGGACGGAGGCAGGAAUGAGCAGGUGGCCCAGUACCCACCCUGACCUCACGCAGGUCCCAGCUUUCUGGAGCCUCAUGUGUCACACCUAUAAAAUGGCUUUGAAAAGCCUCAGCUCAGGAUAAUAGAACCAAAUAAGCAUAUAUAAAAUCCCUAGUAUUGUUAUUACUCCUGUUGCCUUUUUGAGGAGAUGAGACGUUUAUUGGAGUUUUCUUGUGCUGAGUGCUGCAGUGGGUGAGGG